rnacentral:tRNA from 1 species
UUCAGGGUAGCUUAAACUUAAAGCUUUGAUUUUGUAAUUCAAGGAUGAGAUUUCUUUAAUUUCUCCCCUGAAG